AUUGAACGCUGGCGGCAGGCUUAACACAUGCAAGUCGAGCGCGCGGCGGACGGGUGAGUAAUGUGUGGGAAACUGCCUGAUGGAGGGGGAUAACUACUGAAAACGGUAGCUAAUACCGAAUACCAUGCGAUGUGCCAAGAUGGGAUUAGCUAGUAGGUAGGGUAAUGGCUCACCUAGGCGACGAUCCCGAGCUGGUCUGAGAGGAGGAUCAGCCACACUGGAACGGAGACACGGUCCAGACUCCGACGGGAGUCAGCAGGUGGGAAUCUUCCACAAUGGGCGCAAGCCUGAUGCAGCCAUGCCGCGUGUGUGAAGAAGGCCUUCGGGUCGUAAAGCACUGUCAGCGAGGAGGCGGUACUCGCAGAAAAAGCAACGGCUAACUCCGUGCCAGCAGCCGCGGUAAUAC
rnacentral:rRNA from 1 species